UGACCGUCACAACGGCUUCCUGGCGUGACGGCGUCAUUUUAACGGAGCA
rfam:Paracoccus sp. J56 genome assembly, contig: M511DRAFT_scaffold00001.1